rnacentral:rRNA from 1 species
GACAGAGGGUGCAACCGUUGUUCGGAAUUACUGGGCGUAAAGCGCGUGUAGGCGGCCAUCUAAGUCGGGCGUGAAAUCCCACGGCUCAACCGUGGAAGUGCACUCGAAACUGGAUGGCUAGAGUCCUGGAGAGGAAGGUGGAAUGCUUGGUGUAGAGGUGAAAUUCGUAGAUAUCAAGCGGAACACCGGUGGCGAAGGCGGCCUUCUGGACAGUGACUGACGCUGAGACGCGAAAGCGUGUGGAGCAAACAGG